UACGUAGGGUGCGAGCGUUAAUCGGAAUUACUGGGCGUAAAGCGUGCGCAGGCGGUUUUCCAAGACAGAUGUGAAAUCCCCGGGCUCAACCUGGGAAUGGCAUUUGUGACUGGGAGGCUAGAGUGUGUCAGAGGGGGGUAGAAUUCCACGUGUAGCAGUGAAAUGCAUAGAGAUGUGGAGGAAUACCGAUGGCGAAGGCAGCCCCCUGGGAUAACACUGACGCUCAUGCACGAAAGCGUGGGGAGCAAACAGG
rnacentral:rRNA from 1 species